UACGUAGGGGGCAAGCGUUGUUCGGAAUUACUGGGCGUAAAGGGCGCGUAGGCGGCCUGUUAAGUCGAACGUGAAAUCCCCGGGCUCAACCCGGGAACUGCGUCCGAUACUGGCAGGCUUGAAUUCGGGAGAGGGAUGUGGAAUUCCAGGUGUAGCGGUGAAAUGCGUAGAUAUCUGGAGGAACACCGGUGGCGAAGGCGGUUCUCUGGGAAUGUCCUGACGCUGAGGAGCGAAAGUGUGGGGAGCGAACAGG
rnacentral:rRNA from 1 species